GACGAACGCUGGCGGCGUGCUUAACACAUGCAAGUCGAACGAAAAGAGGGAAAGAGCUUGCUCUUUCCGGAAUUGAGUGGCAAACGGGUGAGUAACACGUAAACAACCUGCCUUCAGGAUGGGGACAACAGACGGAAACGACUGCUAAUACCGAAUAAGUUCCAAGGGCCGCAUGGCCCAUGGAAGAAAAGGUGGCCUCUACCUGUAAGCUAUCGCCUGAAGAGGGGUUUGCGUCUGAUUAGCUGGUUGGAGGGGUAACGGCCCACCAAGGCGACGAUCAGUGGCCGGUCUGAGAGGAUGAACGGCCACACUGGAAUUGAGACACGGUCCAGACUCCUACGGGAGGCAGCAGUGGGGAAUCUUCCGCAAUGGGCGAAAGCCUGACGGAGCAACGCCGCGUGAGUGAUGACGGCCUUCGGGUUGUAAAACUCUGUGAUCCGGGACGAAAAGGCAGAGUGCGAAGAACAAACUGCAUUGACGGUACCGGAAAAGCAAGCCACGGCUAACUACGUG
rnacentral:rRNA from 1 species